rnacentral:rRNA from 1 species
CCUACGGGAGGCAGCAGUGAGGAAUAUUGGUCAAUGGGCGCGAGUCUGAACCAGCCAAGUCGCGUGCAGGAUGACGGCUCUAUGAGUUGUAAACUUCUUUUGUAAGGGGGUAAAGUGCGGUACGUGUCCCGCGUUGAAAGUACCUUACGAAUAAGGAUCGGCUAACUCCGUGCCAGCAGCCGCGGUAAUACGGAGGAUCCGAGCGUUAUCCGGAUUUAUUGGGUUUAAAGGGUGCGUAGGCGGUUUGAUAAGUUAGCGGUGAAAGUCGGGGGCUCAACCCCAGAACUGCCGUUAAUACUGGUGGACUUGAGAAUGGUUGAGGUAGGCGGAAUGCGUGGUGUAGCGGUGAAAUGCUUAGAUAUCACACAGAACACCGAUUGCGAAGGCAGCCUACCAAACCAUAACUGACGCUGAGGCACGAAAGCGUGGGUAUCGAACAGGAUUAGAUACCCCAGUAGUC